UACGAAGGGGGCUAGCGUUGUUCGGAUUAACUGGGCGUAAAGGGUGCGUAGGCGGGGUUUUAAGUCAGGGGUGAAAUCCCAAGGCUCAACCUUGGAACUGCCUUUGAUACUGGGGAUCUCGAGUCCGGAAGAGGUGAGUGGAACUGCGAGUGUAGAGGUGAAAUUCGUAGAUAUUCGCAAGAACACCAGUGGCGAAGGCGGCUCACUGGUCCGGUACUGACGCUGAGGUGCGAAAGCGUGGGGAGCAAACAGG
rnacentral:rRNA from 1 species